GGCAGGCGGCCGCCGGUCCUUUGGACUGGAGGAAAGUCCGGACUCCAUAGAGCGGGGAGUCCCUUGUAUCAAGGGAUGCCGGGGACGAUAUGCCCCGGAAAGGAAAGCGCAGCAGAAAGCAUACCGCCGGAUGCAGAUCCGGCAAGGGUGAAAUGGCGGGGUAAGAGCCCGCCGGGAGCGGAAGCAAUUCCCUCCGUCAAGGCAAGCCCCUCCCGGAGCAAGACCAAAUAGGGGAUGAGCCGUUGCUCGCGGCGUUUGAAUCCCGGGUUCUGGUCGCAUAGACAGAUGGUCGCCGCCUUUUCUUCGGAAGAGGUACAGAAUCCGGCUUAUCGCCG
rnacentral:RNase_P_RNA from 1 species